rnacentral:rRNA from 1 species
GAUGAACGCUGGCGGCGUGCCUAAUACAUGCAAGUCGAGCGAACGGACGAGAAGCUUGCUUCUCUGAUGUUAGCGGCGGACGGGUGAGUAACACGUGGAUAACCUACCUAUAAGACUGGGAUAACUUCGGAAAACCGGAGCUAAUACCGGAUAAUAUUUUGAACCGCAUGGUUCAAAAGUGAAAGACGGUCUUGCUGUCACUUAUAGAUGGAUCCGCGCUGCAUUAGCUAGUUGGUAAGGUAACGGCUUACCAAGGCAACGAUGCAUAGCCGACCUGAGAGGGUGAUCGGCCACACUGGAACUGAGACACGGUCCAGACUCCUACGGGAGGCAGCAGUAGGGAAUCUUCCGCAAUGGGCGAAAGCCUGACGGAGCAACGCCGCGUGAGUGAUGAAGGUCUUCGGAUCGUAAAACUCUGUUAUUAGGGAAGAACAUAUGUGUAAGUAACCGUGCACAUCUUGACGGUACCUAAUCAGAAAGCCACGGCUAACUACGUG